rnacentral:misc_RNA from 1 species
AAGUCGUAACAAGGUCUCCGUAGGUGAACCUGCGGAGGGAUCAUUAACACGUUUUAAAACACGUUUUAACACCCCAACAACCAACCACGUGAACUAUUUAACACUCCUGGAAAAGAGAGAAUUCUGUCUAUGCAAACACUAAUGAUGAGCUCUCGCAAGGGAGCGGUGUGUGUAGACUAGCAUUGCAGGCAACUGACUUUGUACAGACCUUUCUUUUCAGGGCUAAAUGCCUCUCUCAUCACUGGGGCGAAAACACCACUUUCACUACUUCUAUAACCAUUGACUGUAUCUUUUUUUAAUUCUACGUAAGUAGCUAAUUGAAAGAAACCAUAAUCAAAUAUCUAAGCACAACUCUUAGCAACGGAUAUCUUGGUUCUC